UCCAGUUUCCCUUCCUUUCGU
rnacentral:piRNA from 1 species